GCCGGGCAUGGUGGCGCAUGCCUGUAAUCCCAGCACUUUGGGAGGCCGAGGCAGGUGGAUCACCUGAGGUCAGGAGUUUGAGACCACCCUGGUCAACAUGGUGAAACCUCGUCUCUA
ensembl:misc_RNA Metazoa_SRP Metazoan signal recognition particle RNA